GAUUCCUUAGCUCAGCUGGAUAGAGCAUCGUCCUAGUUAGCGUUCCUCUGCCUUUACGUCGUUGUAAUUGACUAAUUCCACACAGAUAAUCUGCAAGACGAAGGUCGCGAGUUCAAUCCUCGUAGGGACCA
rnacentral:tRNA from 1 species